rnacentral:tRNA from 1 species
UAAAAAGUAAGCUAAAUUCAUAAGCUUUUGGGUUCAUACCUCAAAUAUAGAAACUUCUCUUUUUAA